CUGAUGGCACAAACUCUGGAGUACCAAGGAGUAUGUCACAGGUCGAACCUUGGACUGUUUCGCCCACGUGACCAUUUUGCUGACGUCACCAAAAAGUCACGACUGUCGCGGCGCUCUUUUUUCAUUCGCUGUUCGUUUAGAGCACGACCUUCUGUAUAAACUAUAAGUUUAUAUAGAAGGUCGUGGCUUCGAGUUGAGACGGGGAACACCGUCGAGACAAGCCGGCGCGUGGUGAAAAAAACUGGGAUCAUGGCUGAAGAAGUGGCAUGAAGUGUCUGAAAAAGCCUUGAAUGUCAAGAUUCCUUCCUCCGUGGAACAUACUAAAGUCGGAAAAAAAACACGUUUCGGGUCGCGUGUUUGACAACCGUAUGCUGGAGUACGCGCGCAAGGGAGACGCCCAUGUCGUCUGCUACAGCGCUAAUUGGCAGCGGCUACCAUAAACGUCAUUUCCGCUUAGAAGUGUGGCAGUUUGGGCCAAGGAGGUUAUACUAGAACUUCUGGAGUGGCGGUCCCGCAUACCCGCCCAUGUAUCGGAGUGAAGCCGCGGAAACCCGUCGGCGGCCAUAUUGCUCAGGGCAGAAGGAGGCGGCGACUGCCUUGUGCCGCCGUUGUGCCCCGUACGCUUGCAGCCGUGCCUUCUGUAAUAGCAAUGAAAGGGCCGCUUUAUUUUUCUUAGGACGCGAGGGAACUUUGAAAUGACUAAUAUACAUCCUAUUUAUUUUUUUCUUGACACUUACACUGAGAGUUAAAGAUGAUGCGAUAGGAUAUCAGUUUGUAUUAUAUGUUUACACUGUUGUCUCACGGCAGAAGUACCGCUCGAGAAGAUGCAACGAAAAUAAAAUUUAAGAGCGGGAGAAGUUGUAGAAUGCUAGCUGGAGACGAAAACAAAAAUAUGAAACCAAUAACGCAAUAAAGGAAACUGAAGGUUCACGGUA